GUAGUCCUGGCCGUAAACGCUGCCCACUUGGUGUUGCCCUUUCCUUGGGAAGGGGCAGUGCCGGAGCGAAGGUGUUAAGUGGGCUGCUUGGGGAGUAUGGUCGCAAGGCUGAAACUUAAAGGAAUUGGCGGGAGAGCACCGCAACGGGAGGAGCGUGCGGUUUAAUUGGAUUCAACGCCGGAAAACUCACCAGGGGAGACCAUGGUAUGAGUGUCAGCCUGAAGAGCUUACACGAUCACAUGGAGAGGUGGUGCAUGGCCGUCGUCAGCUCGUACCGUAGAGCGUUCACUUAAGUGUGAUAACGAGCGAGACCCUUGCCCAUAUUUGCCACCUUCCUCGAGAGAGGAAGAGCACUAUAUAGGGACCGCUAGCGUUAAGCUAGAGGAAGGAGAGGUCAACGGCAGGUCAGUAUGCCCCGAAUCCCCUGGGCAACACGCGCGCUACAAAGGACGGAACAAUGGGUUGCAACUUCGAAAGGAGGAGCUAAUCCCGAAAUCCGUCCGUAGUUCAGACUGAGGGCUGUAAUUCGCCCUCACGAAGCUGGAUUCCGUAGUAAUCGCGGAUCAACAGUCCGCGGUGAAUAUGCCCCUGCUCUUUGCACACACCGCCUGUCAAGCCAUCCGAGUUGGUUUUGGAUGAGGGCCCACUUUUUGGUGGGUUCGAAUCCAAGAUCGAUGAGGAGGGCUAAGUCAUAACAAGGUAUCCGUAGGGGAACCUGCGGCUGGAUCACCUCC
rnacentral:rRNA from 1 species